CAGUAGCCGCGGGAAAACCAGCACCUCGAGUGGUCAGGAGGUUUAUUGGGCCUAAAGCAUCCGUAGCCGGUUGCAUAGGUUUUCGGUUAAAUCUAUGCGCUUAACGUAUAGGCCGCCGAAAAUACUGUGCAGCUAGGGAGUGGGAGAGGUACACGGUACUCGUUAGGAAGGGGUAAAAUCCUUUGAUCUAUUGAUGACCACCUGUGGCGAAGGCGGUGUACCAGAACACGUUCGACGGUGAGGGAUGAAAGCUGGGGGAGCAAACCGGAUUAGAUACCCGGGUAGUCCCUGUCUCUUAUAA
rnacentral:rRNA from 1 species